rnacentral:rRNA from 1 species
UGGGGAAUAUUGGACAAUGGGCGAAAGCCUUAUCCAGCCAUGCCGCGUGUGUGAAGAAUUUCUUCGGAUUGUAAAGCACUUUAAGUUGGUAGGAAGGGCAGUAAGCGAAUACCUUGCUGUUUUGACGUUACCGACAGAAUAAGCACCGGCUAACUCUGUGCCAGCAGCCGCGGUAAUACAGAGGGUGCAAGCGUUAAUCGGAAUUACUGGGCGUAAAGCGCGCGUAGGUGGUUCGUUAAGUUGAAUGUGAAAGCCCCGGGCUCAACCUGGGAACUGCAUCCAAAACUGGCGAGCUAGAGUAGGGCAGAGGGUGGUGGAAUGUCCUGUGUAGCGGUGAAAUGCGUAGAUAUAGGAAGGAACACCAGUGGCGAAGGCGACCACCUGGGCUCAUACUGACACUGAGGUGCGAAAGCGUGGGGAGCAAACAGG